rnacentral:rRNA from 1 species
GGCGGACGGGUGAGGAAUACAUCGGAAUCUACUCUGUCGUGGGGGAGUAACGUAGGGAAACUUACGCUAAUACCGCAUACGACCUACGGUGAAGCAGGGAUCUUCGGACCUUGCGCGAUUGAAUGAGCCGAUGUCGGAUUAGCUAGUUGGCGGGGUAAAGGCCCACCAAGGCGACGAUCCGUAGCUGGUCUGAGAGGAUGAUCAGUCACACUGGAACUGAGACACGGUCCAGACUCCUACGGGAGGCAGCAGGU